rnacentral:rRNA from 1 species
AAGCUCGUAGUUGAAUUUCGAAUGUGGCUGGGCGGUCCNCCUCACGGUGUGUACUGUCUGGCUGUGUUCUCUUUCUUGGUGAGCCGGCAUGCCCCUUACUGGGUGUGUUGGGGAACCAGGACGUUUACCUUGAGAAAAUUAGAGUGUUCAAAGCAGGCCUACGCCCGAAUACAUUAGCAUGGCAUAAUAAAAUAGGACGUGCGGUUCUAUUUUGUUGGUUUCUAGAGCCGCAGUAAUGAUUAAUAGGGAUAGUUGGG